rnacentral:sRNA from 17 species
GUCAACUACCCACCGUCUAAAGACGGGGGCUUGUGAUGAACAAGCCUUAGUUGGCUACCCUCAGCCGUAUGAAGAAACGGGCUUCCAUCUCUAAAGGAAGAUCAUCGGGCUACGUUAUAUAGGUCAUAACACCUUCGGAUGUUUCUCCUAGUCUGUCGCUCUGUU